rnacentral:rRNA from 1 species
AUGAACGCUAGCUACAGGCUUAACACAUGCAAGUCGAGGGGCAGCAUGAACUUAGCUUGCUAAGUUUGAUGGCGACCGGCGCACGGGUGAGUAACACGUAUCCAACCUGCCGAUGACUCGGGGAUAGCCUUUCGAAAGAAAGAUUAAUACCCGAUGGCAUAGUUCUUCCGCAUGGUAGAACUAUUAAAGAAUUUCGGUCAUCGAUGGGGAUGCGUUCCAUUAGGUUGUUGGCGGGGUAACGGCCCACCAAGCCUUCGAUGGAUAGGGGUUCUGAGAGGAAGGUCCCCCACAUUGGAACUGAGACACGGUCCAAACUCCUACGGGAGGCAGCAGUGAGGAAUAUUGGUCAAUGGACGAGAGUCUGAACCAGCCAAGUAGCGUGAAGGAUGACUGCCCUAUGGGUUGUAAACUUCUUUUAUACGGGAAUAAAGUGAGGCACGUGUGCCUUUUUGUAUGUACCGUAUGAAUAAGGAUCGGCUAACUCCGUGCCAGCAGCCGCGGUAAUACGGAGGAUCCGAGCGUUAUCCGGAUUUAUUGGGUUUAAAGGGAGCGUAGGCGGACGCUUAAGUCAGUUGUGAAAGUUUGCGGCUCAACCGUAAAAUUGCAGUUGAUACUGGGUGUCUUGAGUACAGUAGAGGCAGGCGGAAUUCGUGGUGUAGCGGUGAAAUGCUUAGAUAUCACGAAGAACUCCGAUUGCGAAGGCAGCCUGCUGGACUGUAACUGACGCUGAUGCUCGAAAGUGUGGGUAUCAAACAGGAUUAGAUACCCUGGUAGUCCACACAGUAAACGAUGAAUACUCGCUGUUUGCGAUAUACAGUAAGCGGCCAAGCGAAAGCGUUAAGUAUUCCACCUGGGGAGUACGCCGGCAACGGUGAAACUCAAAGGAAUUGACGGGGGCCCGCACAAGCAGUGGAGUAUGUGGUUUAAUUCGAAGCAACGCGAAGAACCUUACCAGGUCUUGACAUCCUACUAACGAGAUAGAGAUAUGUUAGGUGCCCUUCGGGGAAAGUAGAGACAGGUGGUGCAUGGUUGUCGUCAGCUCGUGUCGUGAGAUGUUGGGUUAAGUCCCGCAACGAGCGCAACCCUUAUCUUUAGUAGCCAGCGGUCAGGCCGGGCACUCUAGAGAGACUGCCAGGGAUAACCUGGAGGAAGGCGGGGAUGACGUCAAAUCAUCAUGCCCCUUAUGAUUUGGGCUACACACGUGCUACAAUGGCGCAUACAAAGAGAAGCGACCUCGCGAGAGCAAGCGGACCUCAUAAAGUGCGUCGUAGUCCGGAUUGGAGUCUGCAACUCGACUCCAUGAAGUCGGAAUCGCUAGUAAUCGUGGAUCAGAAUGCCACGGUGAAUACGUUCCCGGGCCUUGUACACACCGCCCGUCACACCAUGAGAGUUGGGAAUACCCGAAGCCUGUGAGCCAACUGUAAAGAGGCAGCAGUCGAAGGUAGAAUCAAUGAUUGGGGUG